rnacentral:rRNA from 1 species
AUGCCAGCAACUUCACCCAGAAUCGGAGUCCUCAUUAUCGUUUGGUCUUGCUUGCAGAAGGCGCGGAGGCGUCGCGUGCCGGCGUUCGGGGAGUGGAACUACAACUACCACCACGACGAGCCGGAGGCGACAGCGGCACUUCCGCCGGCCGUUGUUGCACCGGCCGCGUGGUACGCCACGCCGGAGCCGGAGGCCUGCAGCGACGUGUGGUUCAGGUACUCGCCUCCCCCGCGCAAACCCACGCCCAAGAAGCAGGCGAGGAGGCGGCCCGAGGGCGACGUGUCCCGGGAGCGUUCCAAGGCGUCCUGGGACGCCGCCGCGGCCAAGAGCGGCGACUCCAGGCGGGUGGUGCAGCCGGUCGACGGGGACCUGUACCGGGUGCCACCACCGGAGCUCGCCUCCCACCGGCGGCCAACGAAGAAGUGGAGCCUGUGGAUGGGAUGCCUGGGCCUCAACUCAUGCACCGACUGA